UCAAACUCUGCAGUAACGGAGGCUCUGCAACUUCUCCAGGCCAUCUGUUCCUCUGUUCAACCACCCUUGGAGUGCGACAUUGCUCCUCGUCUUGAACCUGGAUCUCUCCAGAAGAGAUUUAGCACUUUAGUACUUGCUCCCUCCCCAGAGGAUGUGAAGGCAGUAGCUUUUUUUUUUUUUUCCUCGCUCUUUCUGGCAGCCCUUUAGGUAGUAGAAGGCUGUUAGCAUGUCUCUUUUCAGCCUUUUCUUCCCUGUGCUAAAAAGUCCCUUUGAUCUCUCCUGGCAGGUUGUGUUUGCCAGACCGUGGUGGUUCUUGCUGCUGUUUCCCGACCUCUGUCUUCAGCCUCGCUGCGUCUUCCCGUGGGCUCUCGCUUGGCCGAGUACAGCGAGCAGGUCCCUGCCCGGGCCCGGCAGGCCGCGUGCCCCUCUGAAGACCCUCGCCCGCCUCCUCCAGGGGUGGAAAAGAGCCUGAUGGUUUGCAGAUUCAUCACAUUUUUUUGCCCACUGAGCAGCAUUUCAGUUUUGGUUCCCCGAGCAAUUUGGAGCAGAUCUUCUGCAGAGAGCCCUCCUUUCAGGGUUACAAGCAAAGGUUGGGGGAAUCCACAGAGCGUAUCUGAGGCUCCUUUGAACAGUCACCAGCAGAUGAAGUACCCCGAGGCCUCAGCCACACCACGGUUUGUGGAGACAGCUGCUGCUGAGGGCACAGUCCCUUCGUCUCACCCUCUGUGCACUUUGACAUGCAGCAGUGGCCCAGGUCAUCGCCAGCUCUGAAGGAAAAUUGCAAGCUGAGAAAAAGUUUUGUGCAAAAGCCUCCAAAAGUCAGCAGCGCCCUGCAAGCAAGAACCUUGUAAGACCACCAUAGCAUCCCAAGAAAGGGGCCAAAUAUAACCCUGGAUAACCCAGUUUCUAUGAGAGUUGGCUACCAGUUCUGCCACUGAGCAGUUAAUACACAUUUCCUUACCCAUUAUUGUCUCCUGUGCUCUUUGAUGUGAAGGCAUGUGUAUAUACAUGAAUAAAAGGAACAGCGUGCAGAAUAUAAUGGGUGGC
rnacentral:lncRNA from 1 species